AGGACGAACGCUGGCGGCGUGCUUAACACAUGCAAGUCGAGCGGAAAGGCCCUUCGGGGUACUCGAGCGGCGAACGGGUGAGUAACACGUGAGUAAUCUGCCCCUAGCUCUGGGAUAGCUCCGGGAAACCGGGAUUAAUACCGGAUACGACCACCUUAGACAUCUUUUGUGGUGGAAAGAAUUUCGGCUAGGGAUGAGCUCGCGGCCUAUCAGCUUGUUGGUGGGGUAACGCCUACCAAGGCGACGACGGGUAGCC
rnacentral:rRNA from 1 species